rnacentral:rRNA from 1 species
GACGAACGCUGGCGGCGUGCUUAACACAUGCAAGUCGAACGGAAAGGCCCUGCUUGCAGGGUACUCGAGUGGCGAACGGGUGAGUAACACGUGGGUGAUCUGCCCUGCACUUCGGGAUAAGCCUGGGAAACUGGGUCUAAUACCGGAUAGGAGCCAUUUUUAGUGUGAUGGUUGGAAAGUUUUUUCGGUGUAGGAUGAGCUCGCGGCCUAUCAGCUUGUUGGUGGGGUAAUGGCCUACCAAGGCGGCGACGGGUAGCCGGCCUGAGAGGGUGGACGGCCACAUUGGGACUGAGAGACGGCCCAGACGCCUACGGGAGGCAGCAGUGGGGAAUAUUGCACAAUGGGCGCAAGCCUGAGGCAGCGACGCCGCGGGGGGGAUGACGGCCUUCGGGUUGUAAACUCCUUUCGCUAGGGACGAAGCUUUUUGUGACGGUACCUAGAUAAGAAGCACCGGCUAACUACGUG